UGAGAAAGGUAGAUGACCAGACAUGGU
rnacentral:piRNA from 1 species